GAUGAAGAACGUAGCGAAAUGCGAUACUUGGUGUGAAUUGCAGAAUCCCGUGAACCAUCGAGUCUUUGAACGCAAGUUGCGCCCGAAGCCACUAGGCCGAGGGCACGCCUGCCUGGGCGUCACACGCCGUUGCCCCCCCAUCUACUCCUUCGGGAUUGCGGGGGGGCGGAUGAUGGCCUCCUGUGCGCCUAGCCGCGCGGUUGGCAUAAAUACCAAGUCCUCGGCGACGCACGCCACGACAAUCGGUGGUUGCGAAACCUCGGUUGCCCGUCGUGUGCGUUCGUCGCGCAUCGAGGGCUCGAAAAAAUGCUCGGCUCCGGCUGGGCUUUCAACGCGACCCCAGGUCAGGCGGGGCUACCCGCUGAAUUUAAGCAUAUCAAUAAGCGGAGGA
rnacentral:misc_RNA from 1 species